rnacentral:rRNA from 1 species
AACGGACGCUGGCGGCAGGCCUAACACAUGCAAGUCGAACGCUUCAGCAAUGAAGAGUGGCAGACGGGUGAGUAACUCGUGGGAACCUUCCCAGUGGUACGGAAUAGCCCAGGGAAACUUGGGGUGAUACCGUAUAAGCCCUUCGGGGGAAAGAUUUAUCGCCAUUGGAUGGGCCCGCGUCGGAUUAGCUUGUUGGUGAGGUAAAAGCUCACCAAGGCGACGAUCCGUAGCUGGUCUGAGAGGAUGAUCAGCCACACUGGGACUGAGACACGGCCCAGACUCCUACGGGAGGCAGCAGUGGGGAAUAUUGGACAAUGGGCGCAAGCCUGAUCCAGCCAUGCCGCGUGAGUGACGAAGGCCUUAGGGUUGUAAAGCUCUUUUGGCGGGGACGAUAAUGACGGUACCCGCAGAAUAAGCUCCGGCUAACUUCGUG